UACGAAGGGUGCAAGCGUUAUCCGGAUUCACUGGGUUUAAAGGGUGCGUAGGUGGGUUGGUAAGUCAGUGGUGAAAUCUCCGAGCUUAACUUGGAAACUGCCAUUGAUACUAUCAGUCUUGAAUAUUGUGGAGGUCAGCGGAAUAUGUCAUGUAGCGGUGAAAUGCUUAGAUAUGACAUAGAACACCAAUUGCGAAGGCAGCUGGCUACACAUAUAUUGACACUGAGGCACGAAAGCGUGGGGGAUCAAACAGG
rnacentral:rRNA from 1 species